rnacentral:rRNA from 1 species
GACGUAGGGCGCGAGCGUUGUCCGGAUUUAUUGGGCGUAAAGAGCUCGUAGGCGGUCUGUCGCGUCGGCUGUGAAAACCCGGGGCUCAACCCCGGGCCUGCAGUCGGUACGGGCAGACUAGAGUGCGGUAGGGGAGAUUGGAAUUCCUGGUGUAGCGGUGGAAUGCGCAGAUAUCAGGAGGAACACCGAUGGCGAAGGCAGAUCUCUGGGCCGUAACUGACGCUGAGGAGCGAAAGCAUGGGGAGCGAACAGG